rnacentral:rRNA from 1 species
CCUACGGGAGGCAGCAGUGAGGUAUAUUGGUCAAUGGGCGCGAGCCUGAUCCAGCCAAGUAGCGUGAAGGAUGACUGCCCUACGGGUUGUAAACUUCUUUUAUAAAGGAAUAAAGUGAGGCACGUGUGCCUUUUUGUAUGUACUUUAUGAAUAAGGAUCGGCUAACUCCGUGCCAGCAGCCGCGGUAAUACGGAGGAUCCGAGCGUUAUCCGGAUUUAUUGGGUUUAAAGGGAGCGUAGAUGGGUUGUUAAGUCAGUUGUGAAAGUUUGCGGCUCAACCGUAAAAUUGCAAUUGAUACUGGCAGUCUUGAGUACAGUUGAGGUAGGCGGAAUUCGUGGUGUAGCGGUGAAAUGCUUAGAUAUCACGAAGAACUCCGAUUGCGAAGGCAGCUUACUAAACUGCCACUGACAUUGAUGCUCGAAAGUGUGGGUAUCAAACAGGAUUAGAUACCCGAGUAGUC